rnacentral:rRNA from 1 species
UACAGAGGUCUCGAGCGUUGUUCGGAUUCAUUGGGCGUAAAGGGCGCGUAGGCGGCGGGGUAAGUCUGGUGUGAAAUCUAGGAGCUCAACUCCUAAACUGCACUGGAUACUGCUCUGCUAGAGGACUGGAGAGGAGACUGGAAUUCACGGUGUAGCAGUGAAAUGCGUAGAGAUCAUGAGGAAGACCAGUGGCGAAGGCGGGUCUCUGGACAGUUCCUGACACUGAGACACGAAGGCCAGGGGAGCAAACGGG